AUUGAACGCUGGCGGCAGGCUUAACACAUGCAAGUCGAACGAGUGGCGGACGGGUGAGUAAUGCUUGGGAAUCUGGCUGAUGGAGGGGGAUAACUACUGGAAACUGUAGCUAAUACCGCGUACCAUAGGAUGAGCCCAAGUGGGAUUAGGUAGUUGGUGGGGUAACGGCUCACCAAGGCGACGAUCCCUAGCUGGUCUGAGAGGAUGACCAGCCACACUGGAACUGAGACACGGCCCAGACUCCUACGGGAGGCAGCAGUGGGGAAUAUUGCGCAAUGGGCGCAACCCUGAUGCAGCCAUGCCGCGUGAAUGAAGAAGGCCUUCGGGUUGUAAAGUACUUUCAGUGGGGAGGCGUUACCCGCAGAAGAAGCACCGGCUAACUCCGUGCCAGCAGCCGCGGUAAUAC
rnacentral:rRNA from 1 species